rnacentral:rRNA from 1 species
UACGAAGGGGGCUAGCGUUGCUCGGAAUGACUGGGCGUAAAGGGCGCGUAGGCGGUUCAUCCAGUCAGAUGUGAAAUUCCUGGGCUCAACCUGGGGGCUGCAUUUGAUACGUGUGGACUAGAGUGGGGAAGAGGGUCGUGGAAUUCCCAGUGUAGAGGUGAAAUUCGUAGAUAUUGGGAAGAACACCGGUGGCGAAGGCGGCGACCUGGUCCUUGACUGACGCUGAGGCGCGAAAGCGUGGGGAGCAAACAGG